GUGUCAGCAGCCGCGGUAAUACGUAAGGGGCAAGCGUUGUCCGGAAUCACUGGGCGUAAAGCGCACGUAGGCGGUUUAGCAAGUCAGGGGUGUAAGCUCUAGGCUUAACCUAGAAAUUGCCUCUGAAACUACUUCACUUGAGUAUUAGAGGGGAAGCUGGAAUUCACGGUGUAGCGGUGAAAUGCGUAGAUAUCGUGGAGAACACCCGUGGCGAAGGCGGGCUUCUGGCUAAUUACUGACGCUGAGGUGCGAAAGCUAGGGGAGCGAACGGGAUUAGAAACCCGAGUAGUCC
rnacentral:rRNA from 1 species